GCACUGCUGAGGAGUCCCAAAAUAGGACGAAACGACCGUCCGUUGC
rnacentral:hammerhead_ribozyme from 1 species